GCAGUCGUGGCCCAGUGGUUAAGGUGAUGGACUAGAAAUCUAUGAAGGUCUCCCUGCAAAGGUUUGACUCCUGUCGACUGCG
rfam:Ixodes scapularis strain Wikel colony gcontig_1108379257586, whole genome shotgun sequence.